CCUACGGGGGGCAGCAGUGGGGAAUAUUGCGCAAUGGGCGAAAGCCUGACGCAGCGACGCCGCGUGAGGGAUGAAGGUCUUCGGAUCGUAAACCUCUGUCAGCAGGGAAGAACGGUCACUGUGCUAAUCAGCAGUGAAUUGACGGUACCUGCAAAGGAAGCACCGGCUAACUCCGUGCCAGCAGCCGCGGUAAUACGGAGGGUGCGAGCGUUAAUCGGAAUUACUGGGCGUAAAGCGCGCGUAGGCGGUAUGUCAAGUCACGGGUGAAAUCCCCGCGCUCAACGUGGGAACUGCCUUUGAAACUGGCAAACUGUUGUGUGUUAGAGGCUAGUGGCAUUCCAGGUGUAUG
rnacentral:rRNA from 1 species